rnacentral:tRNA from 1 species
GGAGAGGUGACAGAGUGGUCGAAUGUGCCUGACUCGAAAUCAGGUGUCCGUUCUGCGGACCGUGGGUUCGAAUCCCACCCUCUCCGCCA